GCCUGGGUGGCUCAGUCGGUUGAGCGUCUGACUUCGGCUCAGGUCAUGAUCUCACGGUCCGUGAGUUUGAGCCCCGUGUCGGGCU
rnacentral:tRNA from 1 species